GCCACUAAGAAGGAGCUGGCGAUAAAAUGGCGUAAAAUUCAGGUUUCACGCAUAAUCUACACGGCGUUUAUAUCUGCUGGAGUGAGCUAACGAGCUGAUUAAUCACACACUGAUUAUUGAACUCAUGUUUGUCUCUGAUUGGCAAAACUCAGUCAAGCUUUCUGAAGCGGUGGAAGCAGAGAUGGCACAUCAUCCGA